UACAGAGGGGGCAAGCGUUGUUCGGAAUUACUGGGCGUAAAGGGCUUGUAGGUGGCCAACUAAGUCACACGUGAAAUCCCCAGGCUUAACCUGGGAACUGCGUGUGAUACUGGAUGGCUUGAAUCCGGGAGAGGGAUGCGGAAUUCCAGGUGUAGCGGUGAAAUGCGUAGAUAUCUGGAGGAACACCGGUGGCGAAGGCGGCAUCCUGGACCGGUAUUGACACUGAAAAGCGAAAGCCAGGGGAGCAAACGGG
rnacentral:rRNA from 1 species